rnacentral:ncRNA from 1 species
UAUUGCUGCACAACCUCGCCCAGUACUGCUACACAACCUCACCCAGUAUUGCUACACAACCUCACCCAGUAUUGCUACACAACCUCCCCCAGUAUUGCUGUACAACCUCACCCAGUAUUGGGGUGCUACAGGCCCGGUGCGCGCAAGGGUCGCCGCCCGGUCGAGGAGAGAUGCGCGCCGCACCUGCCCCGUUCGCGGGGCCGGGGAAGCCGUUCGAGCAGCGUCGUGUCGCGGUCCGGGACUGUCCUCAGUCCCGGGUCGUCUCGGCGCGGUUCCGAGCGGUCGCUCCCUCGCGAGGUGCCGCGGGUCAGCGGCUGACGCCAGCCACCUUCCCGACCCGUCUUGAAACACGGACCAAGGAGUCUAACAUGUGCGCGAGCCGCGGGGCAGUACGAAACCCGUAAGGCGAAAUGAAGGUGAACGCCGGCGCGGUCCGGCGGAGGUUGGAUCCCGUCCCGUCGGGGCGGGCGCACUACCGGCCGAUCUUCUCCGCCCUGUCGGCGAGGUCGAGCGAGAGCGUGCAAGUCGGGACCCGAAAGAUGGUGAACUAUGCCUGAGGAGGUUGAAGCCAGAGGAAACUCUGGUGGAGGACCGUAGCGAUUCUGACGUGCAAAUCGAUCGUCAAAUUUGGGUAUAGGGGCGAAAGACUAAUCGAACCGUCUAGUAGCUGGUUCCCUUCGAAGUUUCCCUCAGGAUAGCUGGCGCUCUGUCGCAGUUUUAUCUGGUAAAGCGAAUGAUUAGAGGGUUCUUGGGGGGCGAAACGCCCUCAACCUAUUCUCAAACUUUAAAUUGGUAAGAAGCCCGACUCGCUCG